AAGUCAAGUAAUUAAUUUUGACCAUCCAUGGAUAAACUUUUUAUAAGAAUUUCAUAGUUGUGUGUUGGUGUGGUAAAUGUUCUUUCUCUAUUUCGUAGUUGCCUACGGUUGGACUAUUCCAAUUAUCUUGAGCCAAAAGCUCAAUUUGCCUACCCUUUCCAUUUUCUUCUCAUAGUUUUUAUGAUUUCUAUUAUAUAAUUUCCUUUAUAACCAGUUCAUGUUCGGUCUCACUUCUUUUGUAGAAUUUACUCACUUCCUCAUGAAGAGGUUUGUUUAAUCUAAUUUAACUAUUUAAGUACUUCUCAUUGCAGGGUGUAGAUUAUUUGAACUGUGAUAACUAUUACCAUGAUGGAUCAAAGCCUUAAUACAGGGAGGUAUAAAUGCAGCCUUAGGAAAUAUGAUUGAAGAUGAUUGGAGGUGGCAUAUGUAUGACACUGUCAAAGGAAGCGAUUGGUUAGAUAUUUGAGGGGCAGUUGGGUUUUGUACUUAAAGUCGCUGCAGUCAUUGUGGGGAUUUUAGUAUAGAGCUAUAGGGGAUUUAUAG